AGCCUUGAGUUAACCAAAAUGCAAAUUUGGAGAAGCACCAUAAAAGGUGCCGGGGCUU
rnacentral:tRNA from 1 species